rnacentral:lncRNA from 1 species
AACAUCAAUUAAUCAUAAUAUUAAUUAAUCAAUCAUUCAAUAACCACAAUUUACACCAGCAACCUAGCAUGCCUCUAAACCAGGUUCCAACAACAAUUAACAUAUUCAUAAACAUAACAACCGAGACCAUAGAUCAUCCUCCUCUCCUAGCCAUGAUUCCAUGGAUCACAAUUUACCUGCACCACAAACACAAUGAGAUGCGUGAGUAUUAUCACAAAUACUCAGUGAGAGCGAUCCUCCCAUCUACGAGCUAUACACACAAGCUAUGAGAUAACACCCACAUAUAUAACAUAAACAAACCAUUCAACAAGAUAAACAUCCAAUAACACUUCCAAUUCACCUACAAAUCAUCACAAACAAGUCACUCAAUCUCAAUCGCUUAGAUAAGCUCAUGGUCACGCACUCACCUUAACAAGGUGAUUUGAAUAACAAAAACAACCAGGAAAGACUCUCCUAGCGAUUGCAACAGCCAAACAACGCCCUACAACAAACCACACAAACAAAAUCUCUAUGCACCAAAAUAGACAGAAAUAUCAGAAAACUACAACCACAGAAACGAAGCCCUAAAACAUAAACCAACCGUUAACUUCUUAAUCCCUUCGGUGAAACGCAAGAUUUAGACGUCACGACGAUCCCCACAAAAUUUGGUGCCGAUCAGAGAAACGAUGAAAUCACGAUCGCACUUACAAACUCCGAUGAUCCCAGUUCGCAACAGAGAAAACGCGUCUCACCAAACUGCAUAUAACUCACUGAAUAUUAAUCCGAAUUCACUUCUGUAAAAAGGAGAAUCAACUUACACGCCUUAAGAACAAACCUACCAAAAUUCAUUACCUUUCGAUAAGAAUUGAUACAUCGUAAGUCUAUUCUACCAGGACGUGACGAAUCUGCUUCUCUUGCCUUAAACACCAAAGCAAAGCUAACACUCUC